rnacentral:rRNA from 1 species
UACAGAGGUGGCAAGCGUUGUUCGGAAUUACUGGGCGUAAAGGGCGCGUAGGCGGCCUACUAAGUCAGACGUGAAAUCCCCCGGCUUAACCUGGGAACUGCGUCUGAUACUGGAAGGCUUGAGGAUGGGAGAGGGAUGUAGAAUUCCAGGAGUAGCGGUGAAAUGCGUAGAUAUCUGGAGGAAUACCGGUGGCGAAGGCGGCAUCCUGGACCAUUACUGACGCUGAGGAGCGAAAGCCAGGGGAGCAAACGGG